CUUUAUGGCAGGUCGCGCGGGGAGGUCCUCGUGGCCUGCCGGCGCCAACGUACCGGUCUGUCAACCCCGCGUGACUCUGCCACCCUU
rnacentral:antisense_RNA from 1 species